AAUGAACGUUGGCGGCGUGGAUUAGGCAUGCAAGUCGAGCGGUAGGGAAUCCCUCACCUCACCCUCUCCCUCUGGGAGAGGGCCGGGGUGAGGGGUUCCUGAGAGCGGCGAAAGGGAGAGUAACGCGUAGUUACGUACCCCGAGGUCUGGAAUAGCCACGGGAAACUGUGGGUAAUGCCGGAUAAUAUCCUCGGAUCAAAGGUGUGAUUCCGCCUUGGGAGCGGACUGCGUUGUACUAGCUAGUUGGUAGGGUAAUGGCCUACCAAGGCAAUGAUGCAUAGCGGGCGUGAGAGCGUGGCCCGUCUCACUGGGACUGAGACACUGCCCAGACACCUACGGGUGGCUGCAGUCGAGAAUCUUCGGCAAUGAGCGCAAGCUUGACCGAGCGACGCCGCGUGCGGGAUGAAGGCCUUCGGGUUGUAAACCGCUGUCGUAGGGGAGGAAGGCUCCGUGAAGAGCGGGGUUUGACCUAUCCUAGGAGGAAGGACGGGCUAAGUUCGUGCCAGCAGCCGCGGUAAUAC
rnacentral:rRNA from 1 species